AACUUCAUCUAAGGCUAAGACUGAUAGUCAACAAGUACCAUAGGGAAAGUUGAAAAGAACUUUGAAGAGAGACUUCAAGAGGGAC